GACGAACGCUGGCGGCGUGCUUAACACAUGCAAGUCGAACGGAAAGUCCCUGCUUUUGGGGGGUGCUCGAGUGGCGAACGGGUGAGUAACACGUGAGUAACCUGCCCUUGACUGUGGGAUAACUUCAGGAAACUGGGGCUAAUACCGGAUAGGAGCUCCUGCUGCAUGGUGGGGGUUGGAAAGUUUCGGCGGUUGGGGAUGGACUCGCGGCUUAUCAGCUUGUUGGUGGGGUGGUGGCUUACCAAGGCUUUGGCGGGUAGCCGGCCUGAGAGGGUGACCGGCCACAUUGGGACUGAGCUAAGGACCAGACUCCUACGGGCGGCAGCAGUGGGGAAUAUUGCACAAUGGGCGGAAGCCUGAUGCAGCAACGCCGCGUGCGGGAUGACGGCCUUCGGGUUGUAAACCGCUUUCGCCUGUGACGAAGCGUGAGUGACGGUAAUGGGUAAAGAAGCACCGGCUAACUACGUG
rnacentral:rRNA from 1 species